rnacentral:rRNA from 1 species
CCCUUAGACGUUCUGGGCCGCACGCGCGCUACACUGACCAGUGCAACAAGCAUCCGUCCUUGGCCGACAAGCCCGGGCAAUCUUUGAACGCUGGUCGUGAUGGGGAUAGACUUUUGCAAUUUUUGGUCUUCAACGAGGAAUUCCUAGUAAACGCAAGUCAUCAACUUGCAUUGAUUACGUCCCUGCCCUUUGUACACACCGCCCGUCGCACCUACCGAUUGAAUGGUCCGGUGAAGCCUCCGGAUUGGCGCGCACCUCGGUGCCGCCGAGAAGUUGGCUAAACCUUACCAUUUAGAGGAAGGUGAANUCGUANCA